GGCACAUGUAGACUUUGUGGCCGGCAGUCCCAGCAGAGCCCACCCCUCCGGGCAUCCCGCCAAGGCGCCAGACAGCUCCCUUCCUUCUGCCUCUGCUACCGCCACCCUGCCCGGCGCACCUCCCCUCCAGCGCGGGACGGACCCUGCUGCCCAGGGUGGCGACAAGAACAGGCUGCAACUUUUAUGCUGCCUUGACUGGAUUGUUCCAGGAUCGAAUGUUCCACGUACCUACUGGAGGUAACAUGCUCGGAGCUGUGGACGUGUACAGAGCUCCCCCUACCCUGUGAGCACCUGCAGUGCUCGUGGCAUUGCCUGCCCGGGAGUCCGAGCUGCCUGCUGCCCAGCCUAAGACCCGCCUGUCUGCGUCCUCAUUGCCUGACCUGGUUCCAGGAUGUCUGCCAGUGAGAAUUUCCACUCCUCGAAGGGGGCCCCACCAUCAGAUGGAGAAACUGAGAUUCACAGCGGUUACUUCGUAGACAAGUCAGCAUUUAAAGGCA